AAUCAGAAAGUUUCAGUUUCGCUUCUUUGUAGGACACAUAGAUGACGAUACAGCGCUAAUUGAAGCGAAGCUAUCAAAGGACCGAUUGAUUUGUUGAAUGUACACAAAUUAAAGAUGUCAACCGCGAGAUGCUGUAGAUGUAGAACUGGCACCUGUCAGUCGUGUGUGUGCCAUAAGAAAGGCAGCCCCUGCUCAUACUGCCCCCUGCACAUACUGCCCCCCAGGGUCUUCGUGCACAAACAAGGUUAGUCCCUAUAUAGUAGAUCUAUUCUAGUGGGUGGGGGGAAGCAGUUAAUUGUCUCCACCCUCGACCUCACUUCCGCGAUCACUUUAAAUCAACUAACGUAAAUGUUGAUUAUCUUUUUAACAUUAGUAUAAUUAUGUAUUAGAAAAUGGAAAUAGCGAAAAAAUAAUUGAAAUAAUUAUCAAAAACGGUACCUUUAUAAUUAUUAUCACCGUGUUAUCUUAUUCUAUUGUUUUGGAACUUCUCCAACUUGUACUUAUUGUGUUUCAUUUUGGCUAGUUGAGUUUACCAUUGUUUAUUCCAUUCCUAAAAGGCAUUAACAAAAUUGAACAAUAGUUAUGUACUGGGGACCCCAUGAUGGAAAUGCUGUGCUUGCAAGAGAUAUGAAGGUACGUUGGGGUAGAAUGGUAACUGCUUAUAUAGAAAACGGGAUUGCCGUUUCUCGUUUCAUGCCUUUUUUACGUAUUUAACCACCUUUGCAGCAAACCACAAUGAAGCCCUGAAAACAAUGGGAGAAGAGGAAUUCAAGAGGGGCUCGGCACUGACUAGGUAGCCCUAUAGUAAAAUACUAGUAUAACCUGUUUGGUUGUCUGGUUUGAUGUCUGACAACUGCUCUACUGUUUGGUGGCUUCGCGUUGUGCUGAAGUUGUUUGACUGGUGAGUAGUUUGUUCAUAGUGGAAAAGUAUGCCAUUCCUUGAAGAGAAACAUGUGCAACUUUUGAGAUCUAGCGGCCUUGUUGGAAAAGUGCAGCUUUCCACUGAUAUGUCUCAAGAUGACUAUAAAUUAUGGCCGCAGUGUCAUCACAUCCAAGGGUAUAGGUGGGUAUGCAGAAGCAAAGGAAACACAACAUUUUUUGUAAGACAGAGUCUUGAUACCUAAAUCAGACGCGGGAGCAGAGAUAUAGAGCAAUCGCCUAAGACGAGUGCACGAGUUGCACAGAUAUACAAGGAGUUGCUGUAAUUUUCUUACACUUUGUGGUGUAGUUCAAAAAAGUUCGAAAUAUAUAUGGAAAAAGACGAAGUUACAGUAGAAAUCUAAAAGUUGAACAUUAUAAAUUAUAAAUGUCAGGCCAUAUUAGGAUGCCAAGUUGUAUUACCAUCACUAGGCACUUGUGAAAAGAAAAUUAAAGAAACUGCAUGCUAUGCAGGUCAUCAAGAGAUUGUGACUUACUUGAGAAGGUUCGAUGUAGCACUGAUCUACUUGUGGAUAGCGCUGAUUCUGGUAGACUAGAAGAAUCAUGAGUACAGUUGGAUGAGCUUCUGGUGGAGGAUAAACUCACUGGAGUACCCCUACUAGUGUUUGCAAAUAAACAAGACCUAGGGAUGGCUUUAAAAGCUGAUGAUAUCAGCAACGAUAUGAAGCUAACUGAGCUGACUGACAGACGAUGGCAGAUACAACCAUGCUCGGCCAAAACUGAAGAAGGGAUUGCGGUGAGUAGGACACUUAGCCCUAGCUAUCAGCGAGAAUAUUAGAAUAUUGUACCAUUGAGUCUGGUUUUGGGUACCAUAGAGCUGUGCCUAUUGGAAUUAUUAUACGUACUAGGUAAUUGUACAUGCUUUGAUGUUUACUCACUGUAAAGGGUGGAUGGUAAAAAGUG